AGUUGCCGGUUUUCCCCUUGUCUGUGUUUGGCUGUGGCGUGGGCAUGCAUCGCUAACAGGACAACGGAGCCGGUGAACGUGGUACCAGUGUUGUGGGGUUAUUUGACGGGGGUUACUCUUCUGCACUGCUUGAGGUGAAUUAGAAGUAGACCUAAUGAGCACCUUCACAUUUAUUAUGAAUUGCUGUGUGUGUGCCUGUGUGUAUGCGAUGUGAUUCUAGAUAUUGGAGCACUGGGAGUGAUUUGCUGUGUUGACCUCCCCUCCCCCACUUCUCCAGGAGCCGGUGAACGUGGUACCAGUGUUGUGGGGUUAUUUGACGGGGGUUACUCUUCUGCACUGCUUGAGGUGAAUUAGAAGUAGACCUAAUGAGCACCUUCACAUUUAUUAUGAAUUGCUGUGUGUGUGCCUGUGUGUAUGCGAUGUGAUUCUAGAUAUUGGAGCACUGGGAGUGAUUUGCUGUGUUGACCUCCCCUCCCCCACUUCUCCAGGUAACUAGUCACUGGUCCAGCUCUCCAUUAAUGAAAUUUAGUGUCAUACAAUUGUGACAGCCAGUACCUCGGUCUUGCCAUUUACAAUCUGUCUUAUGCUUGUUUUAGAUGCUUUUAACUAGAAUAUCGUAUAUUUGUGUAAUAAAGCCAUACUAAUUAAUGCUUUGUCUUUGGUGCCAGUUGAUUUAAUAAACAUUGCCCAUUCAAUUGGAAUGCACGUCUCUGCUUCAUCUUUAUACUAUUCACCUGUAUUGGGGAACCU